GCGCCCGUAGCUCAGCGGAUAGAGCGCCUGACUACGAAUCAGUAGGUCGUUGGUUCAAAUCCAAUCGGGCGCU
rnacentral:tRNA from 1 species